rnacentral:rRNA from 1 species
GUGGGGAAUAUUGGACAAUGGGGGGAACCCUGAUCCAGCCAUGCCGCGUGUGUGAAGAAGGCCUUUUGGUUGUAAAGCACUUUAAGCGAGGAGGAGGCUACCGAGAUUAAUACUCUUGGAUAGUGGACGUUACUCGCAGAAUAAGCACCGGCUAACUCUGUGCCAGCAGCCGCGGUAAUACAGAGGGUGCAAGCGUUAAUCGGAUUUACUGGGCGUAAAGCGCGCGUAGGUGGCCAAUUAAGCCAAAUGUGAAAUCCCCGAGCUUAACUUGGGAAUUGCAUUCGAUACUGGUUGGCUAGAGUAUGGGAGAGGAUGGUAGAAUUCCAGGUGUAGCGGUGAAAUGCGUAGAGAUCUGGAGGAAUACCGAUGGCGAAGGCAGCCAUCUGGCCUAAUACUGACACUGAGGUGCGAAAGCAUGGGGAGCAAACAGGAUUAGAAACCCGAGUAUCC